rnacentral:rRNA from 1 species
AUACCGGAUAGAGCAUUGAUAGCUGGAAUGCACGAUGCUCGAAAGCUGAGGCGCCAAAGGGUAGGUCUGCGGCCGAUUAGGUUGUUGUUGAUGUAAUGGAUCAACAAGCCUCCGAUCGGUAUGGGUUGUGAGAGCAAUAUCCCAGAGAUGGGUUCUGAGAGAAGAACCCAGGUCCUACGGGACGCAUCAGGCGCGAAAACUUUACAAUGUGCGAAAGCACGAUAAGGGAACUCUGAGUGCCUCCAAAGGAGGCUGUUCAGGUGUCUAAAAAGCAUCUGAAGUAAGGGCUGGGCAAGACCGGUGCCAGCCGCCGCGGUAACACCGGCAGUCCAAGUGGUGGCCACUUUUACUGGGUCUAAAGCGUUCGUAGCCGGCUAUGUAAGUUCCUUGGGAAAUUUAAUCGCUUAACGAUUAAGCUUCCAGGGAAUACUGCUUGGCUUGGGACCGGGAGAGGUCAGAGGUACCUCAAGGGUAGGGGUGAAAUCCGUUAAUCCUUGGGGGACCGCCAGUAGCGAAGGCGUCUGACCAGACCGGAUCCGACGGUGAGGGACGAAGGCUAGGGUAGCGAACCGGAUUAGAUACCCGGGUAGUCCUAGCUGUAAACGAUGCGGGCUA